rnacentral:lncRNA from 1 species
ACUGUCUGGCACUCCCUAGUGAGAUGAACCCGGUACCUCAGAUGGAAAUGCAGAAAUCACCCGUCUUCUGCAUGGCUCACGCUGGGAGCUGUAGACCGGAGCUGUUCCUAUUCGGCCAUCUUGGCUCCUCCCUCUGAAGAAAGCAAUGUAGAAGACAGAUUGGAAGACUAGAAGACAGUCCGGAGGCCCCAGAGGAAGCUAAUGGUCUGAAAUAACAGCUUAAGAACAAAGAACUGUGAAUAGUUGCUCACCUCUGAAAAAUUCUCGAAGGAAUAGGUGAUCAUUGGGUUGAAGUCGAACAGAAGAUGAUAAACUUGGAAGAUAAUAAACUUAAAAGUUAUGCCUUUCUUAUAUGGUAAAAGGACUUUCUCCUGAAAUGCAAUAAACUUGAGAUGACUAGGGGAAUGAACACGCAAUGGAAGCUGGAGAUAGACAUCUGGGAGGCCUCUGUAGGGCUCUCAUUCUUCUUUCUGACACCAUGUGAAGAAGGACAUGUUGGCUUCCCCUUCUGCCAUGAUUAGUCCAACAGAAAACUUUAAGUACCUGUUUAAAGCAAUUUACAAGA